rnacentral:rRNA from 1 species
ACGGGUGAGUAACACGUGGGCAAUCUGCCCUGCACUCUGGGACAAGCCCUGGAAACGGGGUCUAAUACCGGAUAUGACCUUCCUCCGCAUGGGGGUUGGUUUAAAGCUCCGGCGGUGCAGGAUGAGCCCGCGGCCUAUCAGCUUGUUGGUGGGGUAAUGGCCUACCAAGGCGACGACGGGUAGCCGGCCUGAGAGGGCGACCGGCCACACUGGGACUGAGACACGGCCCAGACUCCUACGGGAGGCAGCAGUGGGGAAUAUUGCACAAUGGGCGAAAGCCUGAUGCAGCGACGCCGCGUGAGGGUUGACGGCCUUCGGGUUGUAAACCUCUUUCAGCAGGGAAGAAGCGCAAGUGACGGUACCUGCAGAAGAAGCACCGGCUAACUACGUGCCAGCAGCCGCGGUAAUACGUAGGGUGCGAGCGUUGUCCGGAAUUAUUGGGCGUAAAGAGCUCGUAGGCGGCCUGUCGCGUCGGAUGUGAAAGCCCGGGGCUUAACCCCGGGUCUGCAUUCGAUACGGGCAGGCUAGAGUGUGGUAGGGGAGAUCGGAAUUCCUGGUGUAGCGGUGAAAUGCGCAGA